AACUCUCUGUACUUNCCCUAUACCACUUCCUA
rnacentral:tRNA from 1 species